rnacentral:rRNA from 1 species
CCUACGGGUGGCAGCAGUGAGGAAUAUUGGUCAAUGGCCGGAAGGCUGACCCAGCCACGUCGCGUGAGGGAAUAAGGCCCUAUGGGUCGUAAACCUCUUUUGUCAGGGAGCAAAGGCGUCCACGUGUGGACGAGAGGAGAGUACCUGCAGAAAAAGCAUCGGCUAACUCCGUGCCAGCAGCCGCGGUAAUACGGAGGAUGCGAGCGUUAUCCGGAUUUAGUGGGUUUAUAGGGUGCGUAGGCGGAGUGUUCAGUCAGCGGGAAAAUUUCGGGGCUCAACCCCGUCGUGCCGUUGAAACUGACGACCUUGAGUGAGGGAGAAGGAAGCGGAAUGCGUGGUGUAGCGGUGAAAUGCAUAGAUAUCACGCAGAACGCCGAUGGCGAAGGCAGCUUACCGGCGCUCAACUGACGCUGAGGCACGAAAGUGUGGGUAGCGAACAGGAUUAGAUACCCCUGUAGUC